rnacentral:misc_RNA from 1 species
UGUUGAAAGUGAUGCACUAGCCACUCUUAUCCUGAAUAAGCUCCGCGCUGGAAUCAAGGUCUGUGCCAUUAAAGCACCAGGUUUUGGGGAAAAUAGGAAGGCUGGACUGCAGGACCUUGCAGUUCUCACGGGUGGUGAAGUCAUUACUGAAGAGCUUGGAAUGAAUCUUGAGAAAGUUGAUCUGGAUAUGCUUGGCUCUUGCAAGAAGAUCACAAUUUCAAAG